AAGUGAAAGAUGGAAAGGAAGGGUCAGGGUAGAUACAGUCCUAAUUUCUCCGUAUCAACCAUUGUGCUGUGUCUUCCUCAGAGUGGACCUGCCUGAAGGGGUUUAGCGCCUUCCAUGAUGACAAGCUCUUUGGCGGCAUCUACACAGCAUAAGCGUGGAGACCUGGUGUGCAGCCGCCGGACCCGAAGGCAGGCUCCUUCCUGGAUGAGCAGGCGAGGAUGGCAGCGUUGUCUCUGGAUCCAGAAGGCCAGUGGUGGAAGCCGAAGGCCAGGCCAGGCUGCGUGGGGCCGAGACCCCUCCUCUGGCGGUGGUGGCAGGAGAGAUCCCAAGGUGAGGCAUGGCCCGUGCUGCCGUCUGGGUUCGGGUCAUGGAGGCCAGGGUCUGGGGUGUCCUGGCCUGGGUCCUACCUUACGGUCCAAGCUGAAGCAGAGCCCAUGGCCAAGGGCGACCUGCCACUCGGACCUGAUGAGGGGCGGAGAGCACAUGGCUAUUCAGGAGGAUAAGAGGUCCUCUCUCCGUGGCUACGGAGGGGCAAGCAGUUAGGGAGGUUGAAGGGGAUUUGACCUUUGAUCAUUGCCCCUCAUAUGCUGCUUAGACUCUUGUCAGUGAAGUCAUGACUGGCUUGACAGGAGUGGAGCCAUUCCCUGGGGAAGCCCCUGAAAGUGCAACAGUGGGUGUGACAGAGGAGCAGCAAUAUAAGCAAGCAUCAGGAACGUGGCCUUGGUCGCAGAGGUUGGUUGCAGUGUGGACACGAGGAGGAUGGAUGCAGAAGACAUAGCUUAGGUUUUGUGAAUAGCGAAGAGGAGUUUACUUCAAGGAGCACCUUCUAGAAUUGAUCCACAAAGAAGACAGACACAGGGGAGGAUAGAGGAAAGGUAUCGGAUCAAUGAUGACUGCUGGUGCGUGUAUGAGUCUUGUAUGAUGAAUACACAUCAGGAACUCUGAGAUCCAGUGCUGAUGCCGCUGAGUCCAAAGUCCUGCGGAAACUGAGCCAGGAGAACAUGGCUACUCAGGCGGGACGGAGGGCCCCACUCCAUGGGGAAGGAGGGGUGAGCAGUUCAGGAGGUGGCCGGGUCUUGAGCUCAUCCACACACGUCUGGCUUGGCUUCCUCUCAAGGAGGCCAUGGUGGGCCUGAGAGGCAUGGAGCCCGGAGUGGGUGUCUGGUUGGAGCCCCAUGAGGCAGUGGUGGGGAUUGGUAGAGGAUGAGGCCAGGCCAGUGAGGAACGCCCUGUCUGGACCCCUGAGGUCGCAGAGCCUCCAGAGUCCACUGUGGGCUGGGCUGGGCUCCUUUGGGAGUGGGCUGGGAGUAGACCCAGUCCCGAUCUCGUUUGCUCAGGGGCUGGAGACCUUCAGGGGCCAGGGACCUCCGUCGUCAAUGUUUGGGUCCCGGCCGGGAUGGAGUUGGGUGAUGGAGAAGCCUGGUCCAGUGACUCUUCAGUGGGAAGACCGGGGCGCAGGGAAGAAGGUGUCACGAGACCGGCCUGGUGGAUGCAGGUUAUCUGAUGGAUGGCUCAAGGGGGCUCGGGCUCUGUCCUGGCAGGGAUCUGUGUCUUUGUGAAGAAACAGCGGCCCCGUUUAGGGGACUGAGUGCAGCCCAGCCCCAGCCCGUCCUCCAACCCCCAAGCCCCGAGGUUCUGCCUCCUUGGGCUCGUAGGAGAAUCACCUGGCCCCAGGGAAGGAGCAGAACCGGCUGACGCUUGAGUCCGCUGAGUGCAGAAAGGGCGAGUCAGUGGCGGUCCUCCUCGCUUUCCCUGUCCCUCUGUCACUGUCCCUGACUCUCUGUCUCGGUGUCUCUGCCUCGGUCUGUCCCUCUUGUCUCUCGCCUGGCUCUCUCUGUCGCCGUACGGGUCUCUUUCCUUUCUGGCAGCUUCGCGUCUGUGUGGUGGGGUGCCCACCGGACCCUGUCGAGCCGAUUGGACCCGUUUCCCUGGUGAGGCCCCUAGACGAUUCCUUCAGUGGGGGAGAUGGCCAAGGAAGCAGUGUGGGUAAGAGUCCGGCCUGUGCCUUUGGGUUGGGCGAGUUGGGCGCUGUGUGGGUGUCGGGAGGGUCUUCUGGGAAGGAGCCGGCGUUGAGGUUGUGAAGGGUCCAGAGGGUGUGGACGUCUUGGCGGCCCUUUGGUGAAUGGGUCGACCCAGAGGGUGGCCCUCAGGGAAGACGGAGGGGGGCAGUAUUGGAUCGAUGAUGACUACUGGUGGCGUAUGAGUCGUGUACGAUGAAUACGUGUCUGGAACGCUGAGGUCCAAUGUCCUCCGUGCCGUGACCCUCGCGGGCGAGGCCAGGCAUCCAGGGGGGCCGUCCAUGUGUCCUCUGGGGGGCCUUCCUGGUGCUUGCGUUCGCCCAGUGGGCCAGUGGGAGCCCCUGUGGACCAGCCUGCCAGAACUGAAGGAGGAGAGCGAGGGAGGGCCGGCAUUCCCAAGGCGCCAGGUCCCUGGUGACCCCACCCCCCAUGGUCUGCCUCUUGCCAUGCCAUGGGCUGCAGGUUGGCCAGAGGUCUUGGGCUGAUGUCCCCGAGGCUGAGGCCGUGGGGCAAGGGUGAGGUAGGCAGGGUCAGGGAGGGCCCACCUCUGUCCCGGGGCUGGGCGGCCAGCUGGUGGUUGGUGGGUGUCCCGAGACAGGGCUGUGCCCUGUCAGCAGGGUUGCCCCGAUGGAGGCGUGCAUGUGGAAGCCGCGAGCCUGGAGAAUGGCUGUGCCAUUGGGUCUCCUGCUCUUGGCUUUGUACUCUUCAGCAGGCAGCCGCGAGGCCCGAAGUCCGGCUCCUUCCUGGAUGAGCAGGCGAGGAUGGCAGCGUUGUCUUUGGAGCCAGGGGACCAGUGUGAGCAGCAUCCCAGGGCUUGUCGGGGCUGGGCUGGGCAGGGCAGUGCGAGGGGCUGGUGGAGGGUGGGCGGCAGAUGCGGGCGAGGCCAGCAGUCCAGAAGGGCUCUGGCGUCCCAGGGAUGGGACAGCUCUGGCUAGGAAGGUCUCUUGGACGUCCUGCACAGGGGCCCAGCUGGUCCUCCGCGGCCCAGAGAGACCGAAAGCCAGGGGACGGGUCCUAGAGGCUCCCCGAGGGAUGGCGAGGCCUCGUUGGGUGGGGCGGGCCCCUUGGGUUGCCCAGUGGCCGUGCGGGGAGGAAUGCCUGACUCCACGGGCCAUGGCGACGGAAGAGAAGGUGCCCCUUUUCUGGAUCGAUGAUGAUCAAUGCCAGCGUAUGAGGCAUAGAUGACGAAUAAUGUGUGUCUGGAACUCUGAGGUCCACUCGCAAGGAAACGGGGCCUUUCUCUUCCUGCCUUUCCAUCCUCGAGCCCAGCGGGGCAGCGCCGACCGCCCGAGGAGUCCAGUCGAUGGCGUCUCACUGUGGGUGUCACCUUGUCUCUUGGGUCCCUUAUAGGGUGGAAGCCGAAGGCCGGGCCAGGCUCCGUGGAGCCGAGACCCCUCCUCUGGCGGUGGUGGCAGGAGAGAUCCCAAGUUUUGUCCUUGGGCCAGGUGUUUGGAUUUCAUUGCCUUAGUCCUAAAUGGAGUCCCAACAUGAAGGACAUCCCUGCGACUGGAGAGCCCUGCCCCUCCGGGCUCACUAGUGGAGGCCCGAGAACAUGGAUAUUCAUGAGGGUCCCUCCGUGUGGAGUGUGUACCCCUCAGAGCAAUUGCACUGGAGAUGCUUUAGCAUCUUCCGUACGGACCCGAGCUCUGGGAUUGCCUCUGAACAUACGUGUUAGGACAUGGGAGAGUCACGUGAGUAACCGUUGAGAUUCCUUCCUCAGUUCAUUUGGAUUUAAACAAUCAAGCAAUAGAAAGCCAUGUAGAGAAACAGGAGCACUGUUGUAUCAAUGAUGACUUCCCGUGGCGUUAUGAGUGCUAUGUGAUGAGUACCUGCCUGGAACUCUGAGGUCCAGUGUGGAUGGAGUCUGUUCCAUCGUCCUGUUUGAAGUGGUCCUACAGGCAGAGGUUAGGAAUGAAAAAGGAUGUUCGUAUUGGUGAUCCUGACCGUGCAUUUUUAUCCUAUUUGCAUAGUAGAUCAACGAAAGAGUCAGUAGACAGGUGUGUAACUUUAAAAAUAUGAUGAAGGUGAUGCCUUUUCUCAUUAUAAAAACGUGUCUCUAGGCAGAAAUUAUUAUCUUAUACUAAGAUAUUAAUACAUAUUGAAAAGACUGAUAAUCAUUGUGAGAAAAGCGGUAUUAAUAUGCUAUCUCUUUGGCUAAGGGUGAUGUAGAAAGUGACAGGUAAUUGUAAUUAACUAAGUCAGUUAACAGUUUGACAUUUGAUUAUUGAGGGCAAACGAAAUAAAUAUUGCGAUGAGGAUAUGACUCCACUACUGUGCAAAUGGAUAGUGGAAGAUUUGGAUCAAGGGAGAGACUAUCUCAAUAUUUUUAAAACCUUGUCUGCUUGUUGUUGUUCAGAGGACAUGCUCCCGCUCUUUCGGCUUCUGCUGAGCUCAAGAUUGUCAGGCCGCCUCCGCGCCAGCAAAGAAGCGAAGGUGACCGUGGGGCAGGUUGUUGUUGGGUCGGGUGGUCUGUUUGCGGGUACUCAGGGUACUAUUAGAAAGCGUGGAAUGAAUCUGAAAGGUACUCGUCAUUCCACGCGAGAGGGGCUGCGCCUCACUGUCUGCUGAGGGAUGAUGGGCAGGACUGAGGUGGGAGAGUGGGAGAGAGAGCCCCUCGGUGGGAAAGGACGCUACAGACUGAGCUUAGGGAUGUUGGCGGACCUUGUUCUGGGGGGACGUCGCGAACCCCGUAUUGUAUUGACGCUUCUCAAUGAAGUAAUGAUAGCAUCGAUACCAGUACGGAAAUGAACGAGGCGCAGAGACUCGGUCAUGGACCAGUGAUGAGGGUCGUGACGGGAGGAGUCCUGAACGAUGACAACAUCUGAAACUCUGAGGUCCAACCCAGCGCCCGAGUCGCCUCUUGCCUUGGGUGUCACUGUGCCUGUAGAGCGAUGUCAGGAAUACGGAGACAUCACCUCCUUGUGUUAUUUCACGGACUUAGAUUUGCUGCUCUGGCUAGAGCUGUGUUAGAGCCAUCAAGCCGGCAUAAAGUAACAUGUGAGGAAACACAGGGUGAUGCAGUGUCCAAGUAGGAACAUAUCUCGUGAGGGAAAGAGACUGUCCGUAAACCCUGAAAGCAGGGAUGCUCAUUAAGUAAAUGGGGCAGGGCCACCUCUCUGACCGAGGUUAGAUCGAAAAGCAGAAGUAAGGGUCGCUUUAACUGUUCUGCCUCAGACGAAUGGUUGAGUUUCUUAACAAGAAAAAUAUCUUGAGAAAGAAAAAAAA
rnacentral:lncRNA from 1 species